rnacentral:rRNA from 1 species
UACGAAGGGGGCGAGCGUUGUUCGGAAUUACUGGGCGUAAAGGGCGCGUAGGCGGCGACUCAAGUUAGAUGUGAAAGUCCUGGGCUUAACCUGGGGACUGCAUUUGAUACUGGGUUGCUUGAAUUCGGGAGAGGAUAGCGGAAUUCCCAGUGUAGAGGUGAAAUUCGUAGAUAUUGGGAAGAACACCGGUGGCGAAGGCGGCUAUCUGGACCGACAUUGACGCUGAGGCGCGAAAGCGCGGGGAGCAAACAGG